rnacentral:rRNA from 1 species
UACGUAGGGGGCAAGCGUUGUCCGGAAUCAUUGGGCGUAAAGCGCGUGUAGGCGGCCCGGUAAGUCCGCUGUGAAAGUCGGGGGCUCAACCCUCGAAUGCCGGUGGAUACUGUCGGGCUAGAGUGCGGGAGAGGCGAGUGGAAUUCCUGGUGUAGCGGUGAAAUGCGCAGAUAUCAGGAGGAACACCGAUGGCGAAGGCAGGUCUCGUGGGCAUUAACUGACGCUGAGGAGCGAAAGCAUGGGGAGCGAACAGG